AGCUUUACAGUAAGAAAGUAUCAACAAAAGCAGGCACAUCCGUGUACAAAGUGUUGCUGUUGGGUGUUCUCACUUCUUCUUUCUGAAUUACCAGCUGCUCUGCGUCUCUGUCUGCUCUUCCUCCGUGGGAAGUCGCCGUCCUGGGGCGCUCGCUCUGUCCCCCUCGCCUCGGACCACCAGGCAGAGCAGCCCCAGGGUUUGGACUUGCCAAGAAAAGUGCAGUCGGGCUAGCCAAGCCCAAACAUUUAUUGUAAACUUGAAAAUGGAAUCCAGAUAUGAACGACACAAAUAAGAAGAGAAACCUCCCAGAUACAGAAAUGGUCACAUCAGGGGCCCCCUCCUGUGGUCACGGAGCCCGCAGAGGCAGGCCGGCCCGCAGGCAGACAGGCCCUCAUCUCUGUAUUGGGGGUGGGGAAGGGGCUCUGGGAGGGCGCAUGCCCCAGCAGCAGGAACGUCAAGAGCAGAGGCCCUGGAGGAGACAGCCCGGAGCUGGCGCACAGUAAA
rnacentral:lncRNA from 1 species